AACGAACGCUGGCGGCAUGCCUAACACAUGCAAGUCGAACGAGACCUUCGGGACUAUUGGCGCCUGGGUUCGUAACGCGUGGGAACCUGCCCUCAUGUUCGGAAUAACUCCCCGAAAGGGGUGCUAAUACCGGAUAAUGUCUUCGGACCAAAGAUUUUUCGCCCUAGGAUGGUCCCGCGUUGGAUUAGCUAGUUGGUAGGGUAAAAGCCUACCAAGGCGACGAUCCAUAGCUGGUCUGAGAGGAUGAUCAGCCACACUGGGACUAAGACACGGCCCAGACUCCUACGGGAGGCAGGAGUGGGGGAUAUUGGACAGCGGGCGGAAGCCUGAUGCAGCAAUGACGCGUGAGUGAUGAAGGCCUUAGGGUUGUAAAGCUCUAGUAACCGGGAUGAUAAUGACAGUACCGGGAGAAUAAGCCCCGGCUAACUCCGUG
rnacentral:rRNA from 1 species